UACAGAGGUCUCAAGCGUUGUUCGGAUUCAUUGGGCGUAAAGGGUGUGUAGGUGGCGCCGUAAGUCGGGCGUGAAAUUUCGGAGCUUAACUCCGAAACUGCAUUCGAUACUGCCGUGCUUGAGGACUGGAGAGGAGACUGGAAUUUACGGUGUAGCGGUGAAAUGCGUAGAUAUCGUAAGGAAGACCAGUGGCGAAGGCGGGUCUCUGGACAGUUCCUGACGCUGAGGCACGAAGGUCAGGGGAGCAAACGGG
rnacentral:rRNA from 1 species